CCGCGUCGAUGGCCGAGCAACUCUCGCACGCCACAAACUCGACCGCACCGUCUUUGUGUCGAGUUGCGUAGGCGCCUCCUUUUCUCGACGCGUGGCAGUCCCAACGCCAACGGUCGGGCAAAUUGGUUUCGUAUGCGUGGUCGCACCAUUCGGCGCGCUGGCGAAAGGCAACGUCCUCGAUUGAAAGGCUUUUCCCGUGUCGCUCGUCCCAUGGCUUGAUCCCCUCUGCGCUCAGCGUGGCCUGUUGACCUCCGCGGGCUACCAAAAUGCGCAGGCCAGCGCGCUCGGGUGACCGAGGUGGAGACGCCACGAGCCUUUUGGCGGCUUUCCGUGCGGCGCGCUCCUUGGCGGCCAUGUGCUCGCGUAUGCCCUCUGCGAGCCUCGAUAGGCCAAAGUAGUCGGCUUCGCCUGCCAGGGAUUCGAGUGCGUCGGCGUCGCCGGGCAGCAGCGUCGACCCCGAACCUCCGCCGGCGACACACCUCAGAUAGGCAAGGAUGUAAGAAAAGUAUUGUGGAUCGCGGUCGACAAAGAGGCAGCCAUCGCGCGUCUCGGGCGCAUCAAACGCGCCGUCGAUCACCCGCGCCAGCACGCCAUCGGGACAGGCGCGCAAUGUGGACGCGUAGGUCAUGAAUUUGCGCCCGCCGACAUCCAACGAGACAAUGCGCCCGUCGAGCGGCGGAUGCGCGCCGGCAGCCCUCGAAGCGGUCUUGUAGCUUGCUUCGUCUGCCAUUCCGGCUGGUUGUGGGAGGAAAAAAAAAGGAUAAACGAAACCGUCCACGGCGCGCAAGGCUGUACAGUGCGCGGCGGAUCGCGGCGGGAAAAAGGACCCAGAAAAAGGGGCCGGGUGGCGCCGCGGCUGCCGUUUCUGUGAUUGGACGUCUGUGUGUCAUUGUCCUUUUUUUUAAUUUUAUAGGAAAAAAAGAAGAGCC
rnacentral:lncRNA from 1 species